rnacentral:rRNA from 1 species
AGUGAACGCUGGCGGCAGGCCUAAUACAUGCAAGUCGAACGGCAGCACAGCAGAGCUUGCUCUGUGGGUGGCGAGUGGCGGACGGGUGAGGAAUACAUGGGAAUCUGCCCAGUCGUGGGGGAUAACGUAUGGAAACGUACGCUAAUACCGCAUGCGCCCUAAGGGGGAAAGCCGGGGACCGCAAGGCCUGGCGCGAUUGGAUGAGCCCAUGUUCGAUUAGCUAGUUGGCGGGGUAAAGGCCCACCAAGGCGACGAUCGAUAGCUGGUCUGAGAGGAUGAUCAGCCACACUGGAACUGAGACACGGUCCAGACUCCUACGGGAGGCAGCAGUAGGGAAUAUUGGACAAUGGGGGCAACCCUGAUCCAGCCAUGCCGCGUGAGUGAAGAAGGCCCUCGGGUUGUAAAGCUCUUUUGUCCGGAAAGAAAAGCAUCUGGUUAAUACCCGGGUGUUCUGACGGUACCGGAAGAAUAAGCACCGGCUAACUUCGUGCC